rnacentral:tRNA from 1 species
AAUAGUUUAAAUAAAAACUUUGGUCUUGUAAGCCAAGAAUGAAAAUUUUUCUUAAAGCUUC